rnacentral:rRNA from 1 species
UACGUAGGGUGCGAGCGUUGUCCGGAAUUAUUGGGCGUAAAGAGCUCGUAGGCGGCUUGUCGCGUCGGAUGUGAAAGCCCGGGGCUCAACUCCGGGUCUGCAUUCGAUACGGGCAUCACUGGAGUUCGGCAGGGGAGACUGGAAUUCCUGGUGUAGCGGUGAAAUGCGCAGAUAUCAGGAGGAACACCGGUGGCGAAGGCGGGUCUCUGGGCCGAUACUGACGCUGAGGAGCGAAAGCGUGGGGAGCGAACAGG